UCGGGGGCGUCAGUAUUCAGCUGUCAGAGGUGAAAUUCUUGGAUUUGCUGAAGACUAACUACUGCGAAAGCAUUCGCCAAGGAUGUUUUCAUUAAUCAGGGAACGAAAGUUAGGGGAUCGAAGACGAUCAGAUACCGUCGUAGUCUUAACCAUAAACUAUGCCGACUAGGGAUCGGGCGGUGUUUCUAUGAUGACCCGCUCGGCACCUUACGAGAAAUCAAAGUUUUUGGGUUCUGGGGGGAGUAUGGUCGCAAGGCUGAAACUUAAAGAAAUUGACGGAAGGGCACCACAAGGCGUGGAGCCUGCGGCUUAAUUUGACUC
rnacentral:rRNA from 1 species